AUGAAAUAUAUAGGCGAAAGUCAAUAUUAAGGCACUAUAUAAAGGGCAGCCUCUGCCUAUAACUGAACAUACAGCACCUUCGCUUAACAACGAAAUCAACACCAUCCGAAAAUGUUCAAGAAAUUCUUUCUCCUUGCCUGCGUCUUGGCUGUGAUGGCCAUCGUCUACACCAACUCUCUACCCACCGAAGAGGGCGAAAAUGACGAAACCUUCUGCAAACCUUUUUCAUCCUGCACGAAUAGCACCGACUGUUCCAGCAAUCUGAUCUACAAGACCUGCCGCGCUAACCUCUUUGGCAACAAGCAAUGCUGCUUGUAAAUCCUCGAAACAACUUCAAGUCGAAAUUUCUCCUUAUGAAAUUUAUAAUUCUUAGUUUUUUCACUUAUAUUAGCAUAUGUCUCGAUCCUUUUAAUUAAAUAAUUAAAUGAGGUAAUAAUAAUAAUAGCGGGUGUUUCAAUGCAUUUGUUGUUCGUUACGAGCUUCAAAUAGAAAUACACUUUCACAGUUUCACCACACAAAA